UACGGAGGAUGCGAGCGUUAUCCGGAUUUAUUGGGUUUAAAGGGUGCGUAGGCGGAUCGUUAAGUCAGUGGUCAAAUUGAGGGGCUCAACCCCUUCCCGCCAUUGAAACUGGCGAUCUUGAGUGGAAGAGAAGUAUGCGGAAUGCGUGGUGUAGCGGUGAAAUGCAUAGAUAUCACGCAGAACCCCGAUUGCGAAGGCAGCAUGCCGGCUUCCGACUGACGCUGAAGCACGAAAGCGUGGGGAUCGAACUGG
rnacentral:rRNA from 1 species